rnacentral:rRNA from 1 species
AAACGCUGGCGGCGUGCCUAACACAUGCAAGUCGUACGAGAAAGUCGGCUUCGGCCGAUGAGUACAGUGGCGCACGGGUGAGUAGCGCGUGGGUAAUCUGCCCCCCGGUCAGGAAUAACCCGCCGAAAGGCGGGCUAAUACCCGAUAACACUGACGCUCCGCGGAGCGUCUUUCAAAGGAGGCCUCUGUUUACAAGCUUUCGCCGGAGGAUGAGCCCGCGUACCAUUAGCUAGUUGGCAGGGUAAUGGCCUACCAAGGCUGCGAUGGUUAGCUGGUCUGAGAGGAUGGCCAGCCACACUGGAACUGAGACACGGUCCAGACUCCUACCGGAGGCAGCAGUGAGGAAUCUUGCGCAAUGGGGGAAACCCUGACGCAGCAACGCCGCGUGAGUGAGGAAGGCCUUCGGGUCGUAAAGCUCUGUCAGAUGGGAAGAAAUGGGUGGGGGCUAAUAUCGCCCAUCCUUGACGGUACCAUCAGAGGAAGCACCGGCUAACUCCGUG